AACUGUUGUUGCUGCAAACACCCCAGUAGGUACAGCCUUUGACUCAGUGAACAAUCAUCUAUAUUGGACAGAAGAUGAAACCGGAAAGAUAUUGAGAUGUAAUGCAGAUGGAACUAAUAAAAUAACUAUCUUUAAUGAAGUACAACCCGGAGGACUUUCCAUUGAUAUAGAAAAUAGGUGGAUGUAUUAUGGUCAGGAUCUAAGAAAUGGAAAGGUAUACAGACUUACGUUUGACGGAACGGAAAGACGACUUAUAUAUAACCAGUCUUCAUAUGUGUUCGGAAUACAAGUAGACGUUUUCGGUAAGAGACUUUAUUGGAUAGACCAUGUGAGUGGUGACUUAAAAUCUGCUUGGUACAAUGGGUCUGAUGUGAAAACCGUAAUUAGCCCUUAUUCGGGUAGUUACUGGGGCCUUGCUACCAAUAAUGAGAGUUUGUUCUACUCAAACCAGUAUUCACUUU